UCUGAACGACGUGAAGCUAUUCGAGCCCUUAAUCGAGGUAAAUCAUUGUCUUCAGUCACAGUAGAAAAAAUG